rnacentral:rRNA from 1 species
AGAGUUUGAUCCUGGCUCAGGACGAACGUUGGCGGUGCGCUUAAUGCAUGCAAGUCGAGGGAGAACCAUUUGAUUCGUAAGAUUCGAAUGGGGAAACCGGCGAACGGGUGCGUAACACGUGAGGAACCUGCCCUGAAGAUCGGGAUAGCCCGGGGAAACCCGGAUUAAUACCGAAUAUCCUCUCCGGACCGCAUGGUCUGGUGAGGAAAUGGUCCGCCGCUUCAGGAUGGCCUCGCGGCCUAUCAGCUUGUUGGUGAGGUAACGGCUCACCAAGGCUAAGACGGGUAGCUGGUCUGAGAGGACGAUCAGCCACACUGGGACUGAGACACGGCCCAGACUCCUACGGGAGGCAGCAGCAGGGAAUAUUGCACAAUGGGCGAAAGCCUGAUGCAGCGACACCGCGUGCGGGAUGAAGGCCUUCGGGUUGUAAACCGCUUUCAGGAGGGACGAAAAUGACGGUACCUCCAGAAGAAGGCCCGGCCAACUACGUGCCAGCAGCCGCGGUAACACGUAGGGGCCAAACGUUGUCCGGAUUUAUUGGGCGUAAAGGGCUCGUAGGCGGUUCAACAAGUCGAUCGUGAAAACCCGGGGCUCAACCCCGGGACGCCGGUCGAAACUGUUGUGACUAGGGUCCGGUAGAGGUGAGUGGAAUUCUCGGUGUAGCGGUGGAAUGCGCAGAUAUCGAGAGGAACACCAGUUGCGAAGGCGGCUCACUGGGCCGGUACCGACGCUAAGGAGCGAAAGCAUGGGGAGCAAACAGGAUUAGAUACCCUGGUAGUCCAUGCCGUAAACUGUGAACACUAGGUGUGGCGGAUCUAUUGAUGUCUGCCGUACCGUAGCUAACGCGUUAAGUGUUCCGCCUGGGGAGUACGGCCGCAAGGCUAAAACUCAAAGGAAUUGACGGGACCCCGCACAAGCGGCGGAGCAUGCGGCUUAAUUCGAUGCAACCCGAAGAACCUUACCUGGACUUGACAUCAUGGGUCUACCUGUGGAAACACAGGGUGCUUUUGCGCCCAUGACAGGUGGUGCAUGGCUGUCGUCAGCUCGUGUCGUGAGAUGUCGGGUUAAGUCCCUUAACGAGCGAAACCCUUGUCCCUAGUUGCCAGCGGAUCAUGCCGGGGACUCUAGGGAGACUGCCGGUGUUAAACCGGAGGAAGGUGGGGAUGACGUCAAGUCCUCAUGGCCUUUAUGACCAGGGCUGCACACGUCCUACAAUGGCGCGCACAGAGGGAUGCGAACUCGCGAGAGCAAGCAAAUCCCAAAAAACGCGCCUCAGUUCGGAUUGCAGGCUGCAACUCGCCUGCAUGAAGCCGGAAUCGCUAGUAAUCGUGGGUCAGCAUACCACGGUGAAUGUGUUCCUGAGCCUUGUACACACCGCCCG